AUACUUACCUGGCAGAGGAGAUACCAUGAUCAGGAAGGUGGUUUUCCCAGGGCGAGGGUUAUCCAUUGCACUCUGGAUGUGCUGACCUCUGCAAUUUCCCCAAAUGCGGGAAACUCGAUUGCAUAAUUUGUGGUAGUGGGGGACUUCAUUCUCAUUCUCCCCU